GCAAGGGCAGGGUGUACGCGCGUUGCGCGCGCUCCCGGCCCCCACUUAUACUCCGGCGGAAUGGGAGCUUCCCGCAGUCGUAGUCCCAUGAGUUUUGGAAGAUGCCGACCGCUGUAUAUUGAGAGUGGGUUUUGAGCAUCUUUUGAGUGAUAUGGUGUGAACUGACAACGGAUGAGGACAUUGGGCAUGGCUUCCUUUAAGCAGCAGAAGGUGGAGGAGUUUUAUGAAAUAGGAGAAGAACUGGGAAGUGGCCAGUUUGCUAUUGUGAAGAAGUGCAGCAAGAGAAACGACGGGCUUGAAUACGCAGCAAAGUUUAUCAAGAAACGGCAGGUCCGAGCCAGUCGGAGAGGAGUGAGACGUGAGGAAAUCGAGCGGGAGGUGAACAUCCUGCAGCAGAUCCAGCACCCGAAUAUCAUCACUUUACAUGAUGUCUAUGAGAACAAAACAGAUGUUGUCCUCAUUCUGGAAUUGGUCUCUGGAGGGGAACUCUUUGACUUCCUGGCUCAGAAAGAAUCUUUGAGUGAAGAAGAAGCAACAGCGUUUAUUAAACAAAUCCUAGACGGAGUGAACUACCUCCAUUCCAAAAACAUCGCACACUUCGACCUCAAGCCUGAAAACAUUAUGCUUCUUGAUAAGAUACCCAUGCCACACAUCAAAUUGAUAGACUUUGGCCUUGCUCACAAAAUCGAAGAUGGAGUUGAGUUUAAAAACAUCUUUGGGACUCCUGAAUUUGUUGCUCCAGAAAUUGUAAACUAUGAACCUCUUGGGCUACCUGCAGAUAUGUGGAGCAUUGGUGUCAUUACGUACAUUCUGUUAAGUGGAGCCUCCCCUUUCCUCGGUGAAACAAAGCAGGAAACCCUGGCCAACAUCUCUGCAAUGAACUAUGAACUUGAUGAAGAAUUCUUCAGCCAGACGAGCGAUCUGGCAAAGGACUUCAUUAAAAACCUUCUGCUGAAGGAUACAAGGAAAAGGCUGAACAUUAAAGGUGCUCUUUCACACCCAUGGAUAAUGCCAACCAACAAACGACAAGCUCUCGUCAGAAGGGAAUCUAUCGUUAAUUUGGAAAACUUCAAGAAGUUGUACAUCAGAAGGAGGUGGAAGCUUACGUAUAGGAUUGUUUCAUUUUGCAAUCAUUUGACUCGUUCGUUCCUUAAGAAAGAUCAUCUAAAGAAAGAAGAAGCUCUGAGGGCAUAUGAAAGUGACAAUGAAGACGAUGGUGUCAAAAGAAGAGUGUCCAGGCCAAGGCGACGCAGCAGCACGUCCUAGGGCAGCGUCAGAAGACGUUACAUUAAAGAGUGCACGCCUGAGGGCAGGUUUAUCACUGUUAGCAUUAACAAUCUGAACCUGUUCCAGCCAGUUCAUGUUUUGGGCCCAGUGAAUGGACAAAGACACUUCUAGUGGGCGACAGUGCUGACAAAUAGUCGUGCUUACCUUAGAAAGGCACUCAGAGAAGAUAAGUGUGCAAUAUAUAUUUUUUUGAACAAUUCAUUGUAAUAUUUUUGUUUCUGCUUAGACCUUAGUUUGUAAGGGUUUUUAAAGUCUGGUCUUGCUCGAAUGCUGUUCUUGUGAUUACAUCAACAUUCACACCACAGGGACAGUGAGGGGCAGUUCACUGCCGAUGCAAACGGCUCCUCGGUUCGAGAAUGCCGCUGUGGAAAUGCAGGUGGCAGUCGAAAACGUGACCACAGGGAAAGAGGGGUGGGGGAGAAGGGGAAGAGAUAAAUAAGUUGACUUUGUAAGGUUCUAUUAGAAGUAUUCUACUGACACAGGCAUGGCAUUUCAUUGUGGGCGGGUAUUGGAAUAAUCCUGUUGUACGGACUUGUGUUGUGUUGUGUUGUCAUGCUGAGGCAGAUUCAACUGCGGCCAAGUGUAGAUCACAGAUUCAUAGAAGGACAUUGGUGAAAGGGAGUCAGGGAGACGUGAGGUCACACUUGUUGCUACCAUCAUAGGGUUUCAGAUUUAAACACAGUACACUGAAACAAGCAGUUUUAUUUGGUGCAACAUAAUUCUUAUUGCAUCAGGUCUAAAAGAAUGAGUGUUUUGAAAGUCAGAUCAGCUAACAGACUGGCAAAUUCAAAGUGACGAGCAGUAUGUUUUCCAUUGAAGCAUGCUUGAACACUGUUGGGGAGGAAUAGGUUAAAAUCUAGAUAAAGCUAAAGGACUUUAUCCUUAUUGAUGACUAUGUGUGUAAAUCUGCUGCCAGCCCAGGGUUUCAAUUACUGUAACACCAUGCACAAUACUCCCACCUGAUGCCUUACAUAGUGAACUGCCAUCCCUCCCUAAGUCCAGCUGCGUUAAUAAUGUCUUUAACCUCCACCUUAAUCUUAGAGGUGGCACCUAUUAUGCAUAUUUUCAAAAAUGUAUUAAAUAGACUUUAUAUAAUUAUCUGAAAACUAAAUUGCUCCCAAGCACACCAUUAAGUUAUGGCCACUGAAGUGUACAGGCACAGUUAUUUAUUCAAUAAGAAUGUACAUGGAGUAUAACUAUUAAUAAAUGAAAAUAGUUUUGUGCAUCCUCAUAUUCUGCAGGUCUUUGCAGGAUUAGUACCUGUCAAGUUGUCAGAAUUACUCUCCCUUUCACAACAUCCGGGCUGUACUCAAACUCCCUGCUUUUACUUAAUUCAGUCAGUUCCUCUGACUUGCAGCUUUUUGCAUCAGAAGCCUUGGGUUGCUGGACGAUUUCCAAAUCAUUAGGAGUCUAAAAUGAACAUGUCUCCCUCAGGCAUUUGCUGUUUUCAAGUAGUUUUGUGUAGUAUAUUCUGAUUUGUUUAGGACUACUUUCUGAACAGUGAGAGAGUGAGAUCCCUUGAGAAAAUGAGCACAGAUAUUAUUUGCUUUCUGAUUGUAUUUGUCAAAUGGUGUCAACCUUAGGGGUACAUCACAGCUGAGUUUAAAAAACAGCUACAUAGAAAUUGAGAAAAGGUUCGAUGUUCACACAUUCGACAAGGCUGUAAUUUGGAGAUGGGUGAGAUGGCCGAUGCUGGAAAUGAGGAGUAAUGUUACCGCAGGAGGAGCUCAGCAGGUCAAGCAGCAGCUGUGUGGAGGAAAGGAGCAGUCGGCGUUUCGCAUCAGGACUGAAGGGAGAUGGCCAGUAAUAAAUAGGUGAGAGGGCGAGGUGAUACGGGGCCAGUAAGUGAUUCGGAUACUGAGGAGUGCUGGAGAAGGAUGGGUAGAUGGAGCAAGGAGAGAGAGGGGUGGAAAUGGGAGGUGACUGGUGGCUGAUGGGCAGAAGCAGGAAUUUGAAUCGGCCCAAAUUUUAGAUAGUUGACAUUGCUUCUUCUUGUGAUCAGUUAGGCUGCUGUAACUGAAUCUGUAUAGUCAUGUUAAAAAUCUUGUUCUGAAUGAGCUAAUUUCAACCAAGUUAAUAUUAGCACUUGAAAGAGAAAAUGGGAAUUCUGACCCUUAAUGGGACCCUGAGGGAGGGCAGUAAGGAGAUGCUUGCAUGUAUCACACCUCCCACCCUGUUGCUACAUGCUUUACAUUCAAUAAAUGUAUGUGAAGUAACUGUUGUGAUUAAAAACAGUAAUCAAAUGUAGUAUUCAGCAGAAUUAUUGGACGUAGACUCAUGAUUGUACAACCCGCUGAGCUUUGGAAAGGAAUCGUGCUUCACGGACACGUUCCAGCCUGUGUGGAACGCUGCUGACAGAGAGCAAAUAUAUUAAAAGAAGUUCUCCAACCUGAAGAGGGAAACAUACUUUGAUAUUAACUUGAAGGGCCAUUCACAAUGAGAUUGUGAAGUAAACUGUUUGAAGAACCCAAUGGAUCAAGCAGCAUCUGUGAAGGCGAAAGGGGCAUGUCAGUGUUUCGGGUUGAGACUCUGCACGAGGACGAUGCCUCCACAGAUGAGGUCUUCCAACAGUUCAUUUCUUUGCUCCGGAUUCCAGCACGUGCAGGGACACAUUGUGAAUUGAUGUUCUACUGCCCUUGCAGUGCAUUGCAUACAAAGCUAAACAGGGAGCUGAACGCCUUCUCAAAAAUCACCAAGCCGGAAGCUAUCUUCAUGGUUUUUAAUGAAAUAAACUUUGUAAAACUACAGAAAGUUAAGGAAAACUCGCAUUAGAUUCGAUGCAGAAUCCUCGUGCACCUGAAUAUACUAAUAUCAUUGAUUAUUCUCACAAUCAGCGUUAAACAAGGUAAUACACAUGCAAUAUUCUAUCACUAUGCCAUGGACUAGAGUGAACUGGUGGUGCAACGAUAGCAAUGAAUGAUAAACAUAAUACUUCCUUCAAAUACUUCUCCAAUAUUAAGAAGGCUUAAGACUCACAUAUAUUGCUGUUUCAAGGACAAAUAAAGAGUGUGUGGAGAUGAAUGUCAUUUUACUUUGUGAGCGUCGAGCUGAAAUCCAAAUGCAGGAAAUGAUGUGAAAAAACAGCUUACGAACAGGAGGUGAUGUUUGUACAAAAUGAACUGCACACGAGAUGAGCAGUACCUCUAGAGGCAGAACCAAUGUGAUGGCAAUGUUGGCUUUUGACUGCCUCUGUGAAGGUGCUUCCUGAGUCCAGAGACAACGUGCGUUCCAACAAUGGGGUGUGAGCUAUGAGGGGAAGUGACCCCUUUAUCAUCAGUUUGGUAUCGGAAUAUCUUUAAAGCUGCAAAUCAAAAGGUAUUGGAUGCAGUCAAAAAUUGCUCCAAAACAUUGUCAAGUUUAACUUGCAAACACGAGGAAAUCUGCAGAUGCUGGAAAUUCAAACAACACCACACACAAAAUGCUGGUGGAACACAGCAGGCCAGGCAGCAUCUAUAGGGAGCAGCACGGUCGAUGUUUCGGGCCGAGACCCUUCGUCAAGUUUAACUUGACCUAGCAUGUUAGAUUUUCCCCACUUGAAGAAUUACAUGUAUCAUAAACAAAACACUAAUCAAUUCUGGAUAAAACACAGCUGUCUUCGAGGUUUUGUACUUGUACAGGCCACACUGGAUUUUAAGCCGCAGGUGUCCCACGUUGUAAUAUGAGAUAUUUACACAGAAAGAUAUUACACGUGAGGAUUUUUUAACUUUUAAUUAAAUCCGUAUGGUAACAUAAACAAAUACAUAUUGCAAAUGCUUUUUUUCGAACAGUGCCUGUAACACAGCUACUUUUAAAUAUACAUACGUAUCGGUAACACACAAAUUACGUUGCGUAUACUUUUUUACUGAACAGUGCACAAACAACAUUCCAAUAUCUCCUAACGACUGGUAAAAAAAAUAUAUAUACUGCAGCCUACCAGGAAAAGUUAUUGAUCGCCUUCUUCAUCUUCCUCCUGCGCACUAAAACCACCAAAGUCCUUCAGUGUCCGAAUUGAAUAAAACCUCAGGAUCUCGUCACUCACUUCAGUCUCUUCGUUGUCGCUCUCACUUGAGCGCACGCGGUCCUCUUCAUCACGCAGCAGUCCAGCCUUUCGAAACACGCUGGUGAUGGUGGAUGUUGUGACACAGCUCCACGCAUUUAGGAUCCACUGGCAGACUUGAGUUAAAGAUGCUCUUCGCAUGCGUCCUGUUUUGGUAAAGGAUUUCUCGCCGCUCGUCAUCCAAGCCUCCCACUCAACGCGCAGCGCCACUUUAAAUGCCCGGUUCACGCUGAUGUCCAGUGGCUGCAAAUACUUUGUGGUGCCCCCAGGAAUCACAGCUGGAAUUGAGUUUGUACUCUUGAUGGCAGCUUUCACUGAACUUUCAUUGUCAGCCACUUAAAAAUCACCAUUGGUGGAAGCUUUAGUCCAGAUGCUGUGCAGAUCAGAACACAAGUAAAAUGCGUUCUCUCAUGGCCACUUGUUUUCAGUGUGAUGGACGAGUCACCUUUUUUAUUAACAGUCCGAGUGAGAGGCAGGUCAAACGUCAAAGGUACUUCAUCCAUAUUUAUGAUAUCAUCUGGCCCGAUGGAAUUCUCCACUAUCUUUGUUUGAGUGAAUGUGCGGAAGUUAGCAAGCUUUUCCUCGUGGUUGGGAAGGAGCUGCUGACACAGGUCGUGCAUACCCUGAUGGACAGGCCUUUUCGUCUCAUAAAUCUAAAACACCACGAUGGCCCACCUCUAAAAUCUUCAAUUUUCAUUUUGGUGGCGAUUGCUUUAGUCUUCAGUCUGAUCUGCACGGUGGAAACAUCACGGCCGCCUGCUCUCUGUGUGUUAACCCAGUCUUCAAGAAAGUUUUCAAGUUCGGGCCAUCUGCUAUGAUUACCACUGAAAGCUUUUGUCGUCUUUUUGCAUUGACUCAGUUCUUCAUGCUGGCGUCUCCACCGUCUCACCAUCGAUUCAUUUAUGCCAAGAUUAUGUGCAGCAGCUCGAUUUCCUUCUUCAACCGCCAGAUUGAUCGCCUUUAACUUAAAAGCUGCAUCAUAUGCUUUUCUUCGAGUGUUUUCCACGUUGAUGAGGACAGUAUCACUGCUGGCUAAAAGGAGCAAAGGUCAAGUCCUUAAACCUGGUGCAAACCUCCCAGUCUUCUGAGCAGCUGUGAUUCCUGCCCUCUUGAGUACAUCUAGGACCUGGGCUGCUCACAGUAGACAAAGCAGUUGAGAGCGCCCACCAGUGCUCUACCCGCCAGAUCUUUCACUGACAGAAAAUGAGAGCCAACAUCAACAUCGUUCUCUAGGCAUGCUCAGUAAAUCCAUGAAACAUAAUUGAAUCAAUGAAGGACUGCACCCAACAGGGCAGACAAACAACCAAUGUGCAAAAGGCAACAAACUAUGCAGAUACAAAAGACAAAUAAAUAAAUAAAUAAGCAAUAAAUAUCGAGAACAUGAGAUGAAGUGUCCAUGAGAGUGAGUCCAUAAGUUGUGGGAACGGUUUAGUGAUGGGGCAAGUGAAGUUAUCCCCACUGGUUCAAGAGCCUGAUGGUUAAAGGGUAAUGACUAUUCCUGAUCCUGGUGAUGUGAGACAUGAGGCUGCCGUACCUUCUUCCUAAUGGCAGCAGUGAGAAGAGAGCAUGACCUGGAUGGUGGUGUUCCUCGAUGAUGGAUGGUGCUUUCCUGCAACAGUGCUUCAUGUAGAUGUGCUUAGUGAUGGGAGGGCUUUUCUUGUGAAGGACUGGGCCACAUCCACUUUUUGUAGGACUUUCCAUAUCCACUUGAAAUGCAACCAGUCAAUAUACUCUUCACCAGAAGUUUUAGAUGUGAUGCUGAAUCUUCACAAACUUCUAAGUGGAGGUGCUGCCAUGCCUUCUUUGUAACUGCACUUACGUGCUGGGCCAAUAGAUGAAUCCUCUGAAAUGAUAAUACAGAGGAAUUUAAUGUUGCUGACCCUCUGAUUCUCCAAAUGAGGACUGGAUCAUGGACCUCUGGUUUCCUCCUCCUGAAGUUUAUCAGUCCCUUGCUGACAUUAAAAGGGAGGCUGUUGUAGGGCCAGUUGCGCAAUGGAUAAUGUGUCUGACUACGAUAUUCAAUCUCUCUCUCUUACAUGCUGAUUUGUACACAGCCUUGACUUGGCCAACGUUUGUGGUGUCAUCAACAAACUUAAAUAUGGAACUGGAGCUUUGACUAGCCACAUGGUCAUAAGUAGAGAAUUGGAGGCUAAGCACACAACCUUGUGGUGCACCUUACUGGUGGAAAUUGUGGAGAUGAUUGAUGUCUGCAAGUGAGGAAAUCAAAUAUCCUAUUGCAUAAGGAUUCAGAAUCAGAUUUAAUAUCACUGGCAUAUGUCAUGAAAUUUGUUAACUUUACGGCAACAGUACAAUGCAAUACAUAAUAGAGAGAAAAAAGCUAAUUACAGUAAGUAUAUUAGUUAAAUUAAAUAGGUAGUGUAAUAAAUAAAUAAAUAAAGGUAGUGAGGUAGAAUUCAUGGGUACAAUGUCUAUUCAGAAAUUGGAUGGCAGAAAGAAAGAAGCUGUUCCUAAAUCAUUGAGUGUGUGUCUUCAGACUUCUGUGCCUCCUUCCUGAUGGUAGCAAUGAGAAGGCAUGUCCUGGGUGAUGGGGGUCCUUAAUGAUGGAUGCUGCCUUUUUGAGGCACCACUCCUUGAAAAUAUCCUAGAUACUACGGAAGCUGGUGCCCAUGAUGGAGCUAAUUUUACAGCUUACUUUGAUCCUGUGCAGUAGCCUCCCCCUCCCCCGUACCAAACAAUGAUGCAGCCAGUUAGAAUGCUCUCCAUGGUACAUCUGUACAAAUUUGCAAAAGGUGUUGAGGCCAUGGUCUUGAAACUUACUGAUUAGUUUUGAAGGGAUGAUAGUAUGAAUGCCAAGCUGUAGUUGAUUGAGAUCAUCCUGAUGGAUCUUUGCCGUCCAGAUGUCUUAUGGUCGAGUGAAGAGCAAAUAAAAUAGCAUUUGCUGUGGGCCUAUUAGGCAGGGCAAACCAAAGCAGAUCCAAGUCACUUCUCGGGCAGUUGUUCAUAUGCAUCAUCACCAACCUCUCAAAGCACUUCAUCUCAGUGCGACUGGGAGAUAGCCAUUGAGGUAGCUUACAUGUUCUUAUCCACCAGUAUAAUUGAAGCCUGCUUGAAGCAGGUGGGUACCUCAGACUGUUGAAAUGAGUGGUUAAGGAUAUCCUGGAGAGGGUUGAAAGGAGGUUCAUGAAAAUGAUUCCAGGUUUGAACUGCCUAUCAUAUGAAGAGCGUUUGAUGGCUUUGGGUCUGUAUUCACUGGAAUUCAUAAGAAUUUGGGGUGACCUCAUUGAAACCUAUUGAAUGGUGAAAGGCCUUGAUAGAGUGACGUGGAGAGGAUAUUCCCUAUGGUGGGAGAGUCUAACAGCAGAGGAAACAGCCUGAGAAUAGAGAAUCGCAGUUCUGGAAUUCAGUAAGAUUGGAACAGAACAAAAUUGGAUUUAUUAUUUCAGACACAUGUCAUGAAUUUUGUUGUCUUGCAGUACAGUGUAAGAGAAAAUAGUUACAAUUUAAAAAAUACUAAUGGGUAAGGGGAAUAGAGAGGACUGUUCUGAAAUCUGAUGGUGAAGGGGAGAAGCUGAUCCUAAAAUGUUGGGUGUGGGUCUUCCAGAUUCCAGCAGGCUGCUUGUAGGUCAGAUGUUGAUGCUUUUUGCUCAUACUGUGGGACAACUGACGUGCUCUUCACUGGACAGCCAGAAUGCAGUAACUCCAACACCGCUGCAACCGGAUUCCACACAUACUAUAACCUCCUUAACACACAAUUUAUUCACUCCUUUUUUUGCGGGUUUGCCUAGUGAUACCCAGGCACAAGUGCUCCACCUCAGCCUGCGCCUCCAUUUUUCUCCCGCCCAGUCUGGAGUUAUAGAAGUCAUUAACAGAAGCCAUUUCCACCAACUGACGUCGAAGAAAACAAUGUGCACGAGAGAAAACGUCGACUUAAUAACAGACACAUGUUAUGUACCCCUGGGGUUCAUGUUUUCUGUGGACUAUCACUUUAAAAUGUCGGGGAAAUGAGACUGGCUUUUGGACACUGUUUGAGCUGUUACAGAGAGAUGGACGAUGUUUAUACGAACUCUAAAGCUUGUUUUGAAUAUAUGCAAGGUCAACUGGCUGUGGAAUCGGACACACCAGAGACAAGGAAGACACUGAGCUUAGUGUGCCCACGACCAAGGUGGGGUUUUUGCUCACAGCGUGGACAAAGGGGUGACCGGUGGGAAGCUAUCAGUGUGUUUAACCCCGGUCUGGGUUGAUAGCUUACCGUGGAAAAUCGGCAUUCUUGUUUGUGUGGUCGCAGUCGGGGACUUUAAUAAUAAAGUUUCGGGAGCAGGAGGACAACGUGGAAGAUUCGACGGCAUCGGCACUGGGAAGGCAUCUCCCUCUCUCUCUUCAACCUACUCAAUUCAAAUUCCAGAAUUGAACUGACUUCCUACCCAUACCACCGUAAGACUGUAUCGUUUUAUCACCUGAGCUGGGAGAAGCUUGGGAGAGUAUAUAUGCAUAUACUCCGCUAACCUGUUUACCUUAUCUUGUUUUAUAUUACUUUAUCACGUAGUUACUAAUAAAAGUGUUUAUAACGGAAGACUCAGACUCCGGGUGUGUACAUUUCUGCUGGCUCUU